GCCUCGGUGGUGUAGUGGUCAAGACGCUCGUCGGGAAAUCGAGAGAGCGUUGGUUCAAUCCCAUCCGAGGUA
rnacentral:tRNA from 1 species